AUUCAAGGAUGCAAGAGCUUUUACCUGAGAUUCCUCCCUGGGUGAAGACACCUGAUUAUGAAGAGUUAGUUUUGGUUUACUUGGAUUUUGGAUAUAUGUGGCCUUUAUUAGAGAAGGCAAUUUGUGGGAUGAUUUGAACUACAGCAGAACCAAUAUUUGCUGAUUACAUUAAGAAGUAUCAGAUCAAAGGAAUUGAGUUUGGAUUUGAAAUAAUUUAAAUAUGCUGAAGAAUUAAUGAAUUUAGGCUUUGGAGAAUGGAGA